rnacentral:rRNA from 1 species
GGUUAAGCGACUAAGCGUACACGGUGGAUGCCCUGGCAGUCAGAGGCGAUGAAGGACGUGCUAAUCUGCGAUAAGCGUCGGUAAGGUGAUAUGAACCGUUAUAACCGGCGAUUUCCGAAUGGGGAAACCCAGUGUGUUUCGACACACUAUCAUUAACUGAAUCCAUAGGUUAAUGAGGCGAACCGGGGGAACUGAAACAUCUAAGUACCCCGAGGAAAAGAAAUCAACCGAGAUUCCCCCAGUAGCGGCGAGCGAACGGGGAGGAGCCCAGAGCCUGAAUCAGUGUGUGUGUUAGUGGAAGCGUCUGGAAAGGCGCGCGAUACAGGGUGACAGCCCCGUACACAAAAAUGCACAUGCUGUGAGCUCGAUGAGUAGGGCGGGACACGUGGUAUCCUGUCUGAAUAUGGGGGGACCAUCCUCCAAGGCUAAAUACUCCUGACUGACCGAUAGUGAACCAGUACCGUGAGGGAAAGGCGAAAAGAACCCCGGCGAGGGGAGUGAAAAAGAACCUGAAACCGUGUACGUACAAGCAGUGGGAGCACGCUUAGGCGUGUGACUGCGUACCUUUUGUAUAAUGGGUCAGCGACUUAUAUUCUGUAGCAAGGUUAACCGAAUAGGGGAGCCGAAGGGAAACCGAGUCUUAACUGGGCGUUAAGUUGCAGGGUAUAGACCCGAAACCCGGUGAUCUAGCCAUGGGCAGGUUGAAGGUUGGGUAACACUAACUGGAGGACCGAACCGACUAAUGUUGAAAAAUUAGCGGAUGACUUGUGGCUGGGGGUGAAAGGCCAAUCAAACCGGGAGAUAGCUGGUUCUCCCCGAAAGCUAUUUAGGUAGCGCCUCGUGAAUUCAUCUCCGGGGGUAGAGCACUGUUUCGGCAAGGGGGUCAUCCCGACUUACCAACCCGAUGCAAACUGCGAAUACCGGAGAAUGUUAUCACGGGAGACACACGGCGGGUGCUAACGUCCGUCGUGAAGAGGGAAACAACCCAGACCGCCAGCUAAGGUCCCAAAGUCAUGGUUAAGUGGGAAACGAUGUGGGAAGGCCCAGACAGCCAGGAUGUUGGCUUAGAAGCAGCCAUCAUUUAAAGAAAGCGUAAUAGCUCACUGGUCGAGUCGGCCUGCGCGGAAGAUGUAACGGGGCUAAACCAUGCACCGAAGCUGCGGCAGCGACGCUGAUGCGUUGUUGGGUAGGGGAGCGUUCUGUAAGCCUGCGAAGGUGUGCUGUGAGGCAUGCUGGAGGUAUCAGAAGUGCGAAUGCUGACAUAAGUAACGAUAAAGCGGGUGAAAAGCCCGCUCGCCGGAAGACCAAGGGUUCCUGUCCAACGUUAAUCGGGGCAGGGUGAGUCGACCCCUAAGGCGAGGCCGAAAGGCGUAGUCGAUGGGAAACAGGUUAAUAUUCCUGUACUUGGUGUUACUGCGAAGGGGGGACGGAGAAGGCUAUGUUGGCCGGGCGACGGUUGUCCCGGUUUAAGCGUGUAGGCUGGUUUUCCAGGCAAAUCCGGAAAAUCAAGGCUGAGGCGUGAUGACGAGGCACUACGGUGCUGAAGCAACAAAUGCCCUGCUUCCAGGAAAAGCCUCUAAGCAUCAGGUAACAUCAAAUCGUACCCCAAACCGACACAGGUGGUCAGGUAGAGAAUACCAAGGCGCUUGAGAGAACUCGGGUGAAGGAACUAGGCAAAAUGGUGCCGUAACUUCGGGAGAAGGCACGCUGAUAUGUAGGUGAAGUCCCUCGCGGAUGGAGCUGAAAUCAGUCGAAGAUACCAGCUGGCUGCAACUGUUUAUUAAAAACACAGCACUGUGCAAACACGAAAGUGGACGUAUACGGUGUGACGCCUGCCCGGUGCCGGAAGGUUAAUUGAUGGGGUCAGCGCAAGCGAAGCUCUUGAUCGAAGCCCCGGUAAACGGCGGCCGUAACUAUAACGGUCCUAAGGUAGCGAAAUUCCUUGUCGGGUAAGUUCCGACCUGCACGAAUGGCGUAAUGAUGGCCAGGCUGUCUCCACCCGAGACUCAGUGAAAUUGAACUCGCUGUGAAGAUGCAGUGUACCCGCGGCAAGACGGAAAGACCCCGUGAACCUUUACUAUAGCUUGACACUGAACAUUGAGCCUUGAUGUGUAGGAUAGGUGGGAGGCUUUGAAGUGUGGACGCCAGUCUGCAUGGAGCCGACCUUGAAAUACCACCCUUUAAUGUUUGAUGUUCUAACGUUGACCCGUGAUCCGGGUUGCGGACAGUGUCUGGUGGGUAGUUUGACUGGGGCGGUCUCCUCCUAAAGAGUAACGGAGGAGCACGAAGGUUGGCUAAUCCUGGUCGGACAUCAGGAGGUUAGUGCAAUGGCAUAAGCCAGCUUGACUGCGAGCGUGACGGCGCGAGCAGGUGCGAAAGCAGGUCAUAGUGAUCCGGUGGUUCUGAAUGGAAGGGCCAUCGCUCAACGGAUAAAAGGUACUCCGGGGAUAACAGGCUGAUACCGCCCAAGAGUUCAUAUCGACGGCGGUGUUUGGCACCUCGAUGUCGGCUCAUCACAUCCUGGGGCUGAAGUAGGUCCCAAGGGUAUGGCUGUUCGCCAUUUAAAGUGGUACGCGAGCUGGGUUUAGAACGUCGUGAGACAGUUCGGUCCCUAUCUGCCGUGGGCGCUGGAGAACUGAGGGGGGCUGCUCCUAGUACGAGAGGACCGGAGUGGACGCAUCACUGGUGUUCGGGUUGUCAUGCCAAUGGCACUGCCCGGUAGCUAAAUGCGGAAGAGAUAAGUGCUGAAAGCAUCUAAGCACGAAACUUGCCCCGAGAUGAGUUCUCCCUGACUCCUUGAGAGUCCUGAAGGAACGUUGAAGACGACGACGUUGAUAGGCCGGGUGUGUAAGCGCAGCGAUGCGUUGAGCUAACCGGUACUAAUGAACCGUGAGGCUUAACCUU